rnacentral:rRNA from 1 species
GUCGGUAAAACUCGUGCCAGCCACCGCGGUUAUACGAGAGGCCCAAGUUGACAAACCCCGGCGUAAGAGUGGUUAAGGAAAAUUUAAAACUAAAGCCGAAUGCCCCCAAAGCUGUUAUACGCACCCGAGGGUAAGAAGCCCAAUCACGAAAGUGGCUUUACACUACCUGAACCCACGAAAGCUAUGAAACAAACUGGGAUUAGAUACCCCACUAUG